rnacentral:sRNA from 1 species
AAAGAACUCAAUGAAAAAGGGCCU